UCCCUGGUGGCUCAGAGGGUAAAGCGUCUACCUGCAAAGCAGGAGACCAAGGUUCGAUCCCUAGGUCGGGAA
rnacentral:tRNA from 1 species